GCUUGUCUCAAAGAUUAAGCCAUGCAUGUCUAAGUACAAGCCUCAGUAAGGUGAAACCGCGAAUGGCUCAUUAAAUCACACCUAAUCUACUGGAAAGUUACUAGUUACUUGGAUAACUGAGGUAAUUCUUGAGCUAAUACAUGCGUACAGCCUCAACUCACGGAGAGGUGUAUUUAUUAGAUACAACCAGCCCUUCGGGUCUUUGGUGAAUCAUAAUAACUGAGCGAACCGCAUCGUAAGAGCGGUGGUUCAUUCAAGUUUCUGCCCUAUCAGCUUUCGAUGGUAGGGUAUUGGCCUACCAUGGCGUUAACGGGUAACGGAGAAUUAGGGUUCGAUUCCGGAGAGGGAGCCUGAGAAAUGGCUACCACAUCCAAGGAAGGCAGCAGG
rnacentral:rRNA from 1 species